rnacentral:rRNA from 1 species
GCUUGUCUCAAAGAUUAAGCCAUGCAUGUCUAAGUAUAAACAACUUUGUACUGUGAAACUGCGAAUGGCUCAUUAUAUCAGUUAUAGUCUACUCGAUAGUACCUUACUACUUGGAUAACCGUAGUAAUUCUAGAGCUAAUACAUGCGUAAAGCGGUGACUCACGAAGCCGCGUAUUUAUUAGAUACAAUCAGCCCCUCACGGGUUUUUGAUGAAUCAUAAUAACUGAGCGAACCGCAUGCGCAAGCGGCGGUGGUUCAUUCAAGUUUCUGCCCUAUCAGCUUUCGAUGGUAGGGUAUUGGCCUACCAUGGCGUUAACGGGUAACGGAGAAUUAGGGUUCGAUUCCGGAGAGGGAGCCUGAGAAAUGGCUACCACAUCCAAGGAAGGCA